rnacentral:rRNA from 1 species
UACGAAGGGUGCAAACGUUGCUCGGAAUUACUGGGCGUAAAGCGCGCGUAGGCGGCUUUGCAAGUCGGGUGUGAAAUCCCCAGGCUUAACCUGGGAAUUGCAUUCGAGACUGCAUUGCUAGAGUAUGGGAGAGGGAAGUGGAAUUUCCGGUGUAGCGGUGAAAUGCGUAGAUAUCGGAAGGAACAUCAGUGGCGAAAGCGACUUCCUGGACCAAUACUGACGCUCAUGUGCGAAAGCGUGGGGAGCAAACAGG